AACGAACGCUGGCGGCAUGCCUAACACAUGCCAGUCGAACGAGACCUUCGGGUCUAGUGGCGCACGGGUGCGUAACGCGUGGGAACCUGCCCUUAGGUUCGGAAUAACUCCCCGAAAGGGGUGCUAAUACCGGAUAAUGUCUUCGGACCAAAGAUUUAUCGCCUUUGGAUGGGCCCGCGUUGGAUUAGCUAGUUGGUAGGGUAAAAGCCUACCAAGGCGACGAUCCAUAGCUGGUCUGAGAGGCUGAUCAGCCACACUGGGACUGAGACACGGCCCAGACUCCUACGGGAGGCAGCAGUGGGGAAUAUUGGACAAUGGGCGAAAGCCUGAUCCAGCAAUGCCGCGUGAGUGAUGAAGGCCUUAGGGUUGUAAAGCUCUUUUACCCGGGAUGAUAAUGACAGUACCGGGAGAAUAAGCUCCGGCUAACUACGUG
rnacentral:rRNA from 1 species